ACAAGGAACAAGUAAAGAAAGUAAUGCAAGUAAAGAAAGUAAUGCAAGUAAAGUAACACAGGGAACAAGUAAAGAAAGUAAUGCAAGUAAAGUAACACAGGGAACAAGUAAAGAAAGUAAUGCAAGUAAAGUAACACAGGGAACAAGUAAAGAAAGUAAUGCAAGUAAAGUAACAGGGAACAAGUAAAAAAACUACUGCAAGUAAAGUAACAGGGAACAAGUAAAGUAACACAGGGAACAAGAAAAGUAAAAGUACUGCAAGUAAAGUAACAGGGAACAAGUAAAGAAAGUAAUGCAAGUAAAGUAACAGGGAACAAGUAAAGAAAGUAAUGCAAGUAAAGAAAGUAAUGCAAGUAAAGUAACACAGGGAACAAUAAAAGAAAGUAAUGCAAGUAAAGAAAGUAAUGCAAGUAAAGUAACACAGGGAACAAGAAAAGUAAGUACUGCAAGUAAAGUAACAGGGAACAAGUAAAGAAAGUAAUGCAAGUAAAGUAACAAGGAACAAGUAAAGAAAGUAAUGCAAGUAAAGAAAGUAAUGCAAGUAAAGUAACACAGGGAACAAGUAAAGAAAGUAAUGCAAGUAAAGUAACACAGGGAACAAGUAAAGAAAGUAAUGCAAGUAAAGUAACACAGGGAACAAGUAAAGAAAGUAAUGCAAGUAAAGUAACAGGGAACAAGUAAAGUAACAGGGAACAAGUAAAGAAACUACUGCAAGUAAAGUAACAGGGAACAAGUAAAGUAACACAGGGAACAAGAAAAGUAAGUACUGCAAGUAAAGUAACAGGGAACAAGUAAAGAAAGUAAUGCAAGUAAAGUAACAAGGAACAAGUAAAGAAAGUAAUGCAAGUAAAGAAAGUAAUGCAAGUAAAGUAACACAGGGAACAAGUAAAGUAAGUACUGCAAGUAAAGUAACAGGGAACAAGUAAAGUAACACAGGGAACAAAAAGAAAGUAAUGCAAGUAACACAGGGAACAAGUAAAGUAACGGAACAAGUAAAGAAAGUAAUGCAAGUAAAAUAACACAGGGAACAAGUAAAGAAAGUAAUGCAAGUAAAGUAACAAGGAAUAAGUAAUGCAAGUAAAGUAACGGAACAAGUAAAGAAAGUAAUGCAAGUAAAGUAACACAGGGAACAAGUAAAGAAAGUACUGCAAGUAAAGUAACACAGGGAACAAGUAAAGAAAGUACUGCAAGUAAAGUAACAGAACAAGUAAAGAAAGUACUGCAGUAAAGUAACAGAACAAGUAAAGAAAGUAAUGCAAGUAAGUAACAGAACAAGUAAAGAAAGUAAUGCAAGUAAAGUAACAGGGAACAAGUAAAGAAAGUAAAGCAAGUAAAGUAACAGGAACAAGUAAAGAAAGUAAAGCAAGUAAAGUAACAGGGAACAAGUAAAGUAACAGGGAACAAGUAACAUGGGGAACAAGUAAAGAAGCUUUUUCUUUACGUGAAAAACUAACAAGUAAAGUAAGCGCUAGAAGGUACAAUUGGUAAUAAGUACGUACAGAAAGUACGUCUUUGAUUUUUGGUGUACAUGCAACCCUGAUUAAGUGUCUGGGGUGUGUUAACAAGGAAAAGAAGGGAACUGAUGUAAUAGAGGAAAACAGGAUACAAAUUAGUUUUUACACUGACUGAAAAUAUACAAAGUAGGUAACAAGUAAGGCAAGUUAAUAAUGUAAAGAAAGGAGUACGUAAUACAAGUACAGGAACAAGUUAAGAAAGUACUGCAAGUAAAGUAACACAGGGAACAAGUAAAGAAAGUAAUGCAAG
ensembl:lncRNA